GACGAACGCUGGCGGCGUGCCUAAUACAUGCAAGUCGAACGAAGCUGUUUUAACUGGUGCUUGCACCGACUUAAACAACUGAGUGGCGAACGGGUGAGUAACACGUGGGUAACCUGCCCCAAAGCGGGGGAUAACAUUUGGAAACAGAUGCUAAUACCGCAUAACCACAGAAACCACAUGGUUUCUGUGUCAAAGAUGGUUUCGGCUAUCACUUUGGGAUGGACCCGCGGCGUAUUAGCUAGUUGGUAAGGUAAUGGCUUACCAAGGCAACGAUACGUAGCCGAACUGAGAGGUUGAACGUCCACAUUGGGACUGAGACACGGCCCAAACUCCUACGGGAGGCAGCAGUAGGGAAUCUUCCACAAUGGACGAAAGUCUGAUGGAGCAACGCCGCGUGAGUGAAGAAGGUUUUCGGAUCGUAAAACUCUGUUGUCAGAGAAGAACGUGUGCGAGAGUAACUGUUCGUGCAGUGACGGUAUCUGGCCAGAAAGCCACGGCUAACUACGUGCCAGCAGCCGCGGUAA
rnacentral:rRNA from 1 species